UGGGUUGGUCCUUCAUGAGAGGCAAGCUUAUCCCACAUAUAUGUUAUCUGUUGUUUGAAUGGAUGCAUCAUUUCUACUGAGGGUAAAUAUCAGAAAGCCCCCUAAAAGGAAAAAGGUAGCUGGCGAUGAAGGACCACUACUAUGGGCAACAGUUCCCAGUGGUUUGGAGGAUCUUAGAUCAAGUUGUCAACCCUGAAGAAUAUGAAUUGGAUUCAGGAAUUGUAACAGAGACUCUCAAAGCUUAAGCAGGAAGAAAAUAAACAUUUUAUAUGUUGCCGAUGUGGCUCUGAGGAAAAAUACUGUGUCUGGUUCUUAGUCACAAGGGGUUGAUUAUCUUAACCAGGUGAUAUUAUCAGGGAUGAAAAUGAUGAUGAAGAUGAUGAUGACGACGACAAGUGACUGCUGUACAAUUCUUAAUAAAGAUCACACAAUAAUCAUUAAA